CCCUACCACCCUGAACACCUGGACACAUCCAAUCUUGUCUGAUCUCAGAAGCUAAGCAGGGUCGGGACUGGUUAGUACUUGGAUGGGAGAAAUAAGUUG
rnacentral:rRNA from 1 species